CCUAUUCAUAGGUCUUUAAUGUUAAUUAAUUUAAACCUAAAUAUCUUAAAUUUUCAACGAUGGAUAUCUAGGCUCCUAUAACGAUGAAGAACGCAGCGAAAUGCGAUACGCAAUGCGAAUUGCAGAACCGUGAGUCAUCAGAUUUUUGAACGCAAGUGGCGAUAGCUUCGGCUAUCAUGUUUGUUUCAGUGUGUUCGGUUAAUUACAUCGUAGAAUUUAAUGUGAUUGAAGAAAUUCUCUCACUGAAUACGAAGUAAUGUCAGUUAAAUACAUUAAAUGAGCUAGUCACUAAAUUGGUGAUAAUCGUUUAAGUGGAGUUUAGCUGUAAAUCAUUACUUAAUAAAAAAUUAUCCAAUCAUAACACCUGAAAUAAGCAAGAAUACCCGCU
rnacentral:rRNA from 1 species